rnacentral:rRNA from 1 species
UUGAAGAGUUUGAUCAUGGCUCAGAUUGAACGCUGGCGGCAGGCCUAACACAUGCAAGUCGAGCGGUAGCACAGAGAGCUUGCUCUCGGGUGACGAGCGGCGGACGGGUGAGUAAUGUCUGGGAAACUGCCUGAUGGAGGGGGAUAACUACUGGAAACGGUAGCUAAUACCGCAUAAUGUCGCAAGACCAAAGUGGGGGACCUUCGGGCCUCAUGCCAUCAGAUGUGCCCAGAUGGGAUUAGCUAGUAGGUGGGGUAACGGCUCACCUAGGCGACGAUCCCUAGCUGGUCUGAGAGGAUGACCAGCCACACUGGAACUGAGACACGGUCCAGACUCCUACGGGAGGCAGCAGUGGGGAAUAUUGCACAAUGGGCGCAAGCCUGAUGCAGCCAUGCCGCGUGUGUGAAGAAGGCCUUCGGGUUGUAAAGCACUUUCAGCGGGGAGGAAGGCGGUGAGGUUAAUAACCUCAUCGAUUGACGUUACCCGCAGAAGAAGCACCGGCUAACUCCGUGCCAGCAGCCGCGGUAAUACGGAGGGUGCAAGCGUUAAUCGGAAUUACUGGGCGUAAAGCGCACGCAGGCGGUCUGUCAAGUCGGAUGUGAAAUCCCCGGGCUCAACCUGGGAACUGCAUUCGAAACUGGCAGGCUAGAGUCUUGUAGAGGGGGGUAGAAUUCCAGGUGUAGCGGUGAAAUGCGUAGAGAUCUGGAGGAAUACCGGUGGCGAAGGCGGCCCCCUGGACAAAGACUGACGCUCAGGUGCGAAAGCGUGGGGAGCAAACAGGAUUAGAUACCCUGGUAGUCCACGCCGUAAACGAUGUCGAUUUGGAGGUUGUGCCCUUGAGGCGUGGCUUCCGGAGCUAACGCGUUAAAUCGACCGCCUGGGGAGUACGGCCGCAAGGUUAAAACUCAAAUGAAUUGACGGGGGCCCGCACAAGCGGUGGAGCAUGUGGUUUAAUUCGAUGCAACGCGAAGAACCUUACCUGGUCUUGACAUCCACAGAACUUAGCAGAGAUGCUUUGGUGCCUUCGGGAACUGUGAGACAGGUGCUGCAUGGCUGUCGUCAGCUCGUGUUGUGAAAUGUUGGGUUAAGUCCCGCAACGAGCGCAACCCUUAUCCUUUGUUGCCAGCGGUUAGGCCGGGAACUCAAAGGAGACUGCCAGUGAUAAACUGGAGGAAGGUGGGGAUGACGUCAAGUCAUCAUGGCCCUUACGACCAGGGCUACACACGUGCUACAAUGGCAUAUACAAAGAGAAGCGACCUCGCGAGAGCAAGCGGACCUCAUAAAGUAUGUCGUAGUCCGGAUUGGAGUCUGCAACUCGACUCCAUGAAGUCGGAAUCGCUAGUAAUCGUAGAUCAGAAUGCUACGGUGAAUACGUUCCCGGGCCUUGUACACACCGCCCGUCACACCAUGGGAGUGGGUUGCAAAAGAAGUAGGUAGCUUAACCUUCGGGAGGGCGCUUACCACUUUGUGAUUCAUGACUGGGGUGAAGUCGUAACAAGGUAACCGUAGGGGAACCUGCGGUUGGAUCACCUCCUU